AUCAUUCCUGCUGCCUAUCAAAAGAGAGAGGGACACGGCAGUGGGGAGCUCAGCCUGGUGUGUGUGCAGCGGAAGGAGCAUCAGAUUGGUUCCGCUGCUGUACCCACACUGCGCUGAGCUCUCUGCUGCCUUGUCCCUCUCAGUAACUGGCAGCAAUGUGUGU